UACUGCAAUGCAAGCACUUCUU
rnacentral:miRNA from 1 species